GAGCCGCUGCGGGCGCGGCACUGCAGCCCCGAGCCUGAACCCCGAACCGGAGCCCUGAGCCCAACCCCGGCUACAGGCCCAGAAGGCCGGGAUCCAGCAGCUACUCGCCCAGCCCUUCGGAGGACGCCUCGACCCGCAGGCGCCCGCUAGCCCACGCGCCACGAUGGUGUGCGGGGGCUUCUCGUGCUCCAAGAACUGCCUGUGCGCGCUCAACCUGCUAUACACCCUCUGAAUCGGGAGCAACAGGGUCAGCUCCUGGAGGUUGGAUGGAACAAUACAGCAAGUGCUAGAAAUGACAUCCAGAGGAAUUUGAACUGCUGUGGCUUCCGAAAUUAUAACCCAAACGACACCUGCCCGGCU
rnacentral:lncRNA from 1 species